rnacentral:misc_RNA from 1 species
CCUGGCCGAGCGCGCGCGCGCCGACUGGGGCCACGCGCCCGACGCCAUCUGGAAAAUAUUCAGAUACUUGAAGAACAAGACGAGAGAAGACGAUCUGCUUGGACUAUGAAAAUGAAGAUACCUCCCAGUUACUACUGGAAUCAAAUUUAGACUGAUGUGUUUAUAAACUACUCACUACAAAUCCACCACAAUGCAUCGCAACUUGAUCUCUUUCAAAUAAAAACGAUAUUUUUAAGUCGAAAAUAUAAAAUCGGAAUUAUAAUCCCUUUUAUACAAAAUAAUAAGCUUUAACAAACAUUUCAUUUUAGACAUAUUUCCGCAGAUUUUCUAUUCGUUAUAUCUUCCAGUAUUCUUCUUUUCAACACUAAGUAUGAAUUGAUUUAAAAAAACACCAAAAUACUCUUUACAAUACUUUGUCAUAAGCGUAUUAAAACAUUCCUAAAAUAAUUUCAUAAUAAAACUUUUAUUACUAACUUCGACACCAACGUUUCAUAGACUGAGUUGUACGUGCUUUAGAUGCUCAAACUAAUCUAACAUUUUUAACAUCGUUGUUUUAUAAUUAUUGUACAAAUUUAUUGUUAAUACAAUUGGCAUAAGCUUGCUAUAAGUAAAAAUAAUGUAUAUUUGUUUGAAUUCAUUAAUAACAAUAAAAUGACUUAUAAUAUGAUAAUUAUUAUUCAGUAGAACAACAGGAAAUUAUUAGUUGUAAUUGAAAUUUAAUGGAAAUCAAGGCAACCGCUUGACUGCGCAAAUUACUGCAUAUUGAAGUGCAAUAUUUGCGCAUAUCUUUAUAUCCCAUAAUGCAAUUUGAUGUAAAAUAAAAAUGUUUUUAAUGUCUUUAAGUACAAUAUAAGAUUUUGAUGUUACUGUUUAUGUUUAAGUUUUUGACAAAAUUAAAACAUAUUGUGUGAUUUU